GCCCGGGGGGGCUCAGUCGGUUGAGUGUCCGGCUUCGGCUCAGGUCAUGAUCUCACGGUUCGUGGGUUCGAGCCCCACCUCGGGCU
rfam:Felis catus isolate Cinnamon breed Abyssinian chromosome B4, whole genome shotgun sequence.